rnacentral:rRNA from 1 species
UAGGAGAUAUUGCUUAAUGGGCGAAAGCCUGAAGCAGCAACGCCGCGUGUGUGAAGAAGGCCUUCGGGUUGUAAAACACUUUUUGAGGGAAUGAGGAAGGACAGUACCCUCAGAAUAAGCCUCGGCUAACUACGUGCCAGCAGCCGCGGUAAAACGUAGGAGGCGAGCGUUAUCCGGAUUUACUGGGCGUAAAGCGCGUGCAGGCGGCACGGCAAGUUGGAUGUGAAAGCUCCCGGCUUAACUGGGAGAGGUCGUUCAAAACUGCCGAGCUAGAGUGCGGGAGAGGGAGGUGGAAUUCCGGGUGUAGUGGUGAAAUGCGUAGAUAUCCGGAGGAACACCAGUGGCGAAAGCGGCCUCCUGGUCCGCAACUGACGCUCAGACGCGAAAGCUAGGGUAGCAAACGG